UUUCAGAAAAAACAUAUUUUUAGACUCAAUAAAAAUUAUAAUGAUGAAAUCUUUCAAUUCAACUUAAUUAAUCUGUUUCAAGAGCAGUGUGACAUCACCGGCCGAUGUGGUUGUUGUGAAUAUCUCUCUUUUUCGUUAUUUGUUAGUGUUCCAGACUGUUCUAUAUAAACUUGAUGUGACACCUACCAUCUCCAUCACUAUGGAUAAGGUAACAUAAAGUCAAGAUGGAAAGAUUAUACCAGGAAAGGACUGGGAUAUCGUUCGAGAAACUAUCCAAAUAUAUUGUGCACUAUGUGAAAAACCUUAUUAAAACUUGAGAGGCCGGAUGUAUUAUACCGGGCUGGACAAUUCAUAAUAUAUUGUGAGAAAUCACCUCCUGAAGUUUGUAAAAGUACUUCUGAAUCACCCUGUAUAAGUCUGAAAGUCUAAAUCAUAAAGAAAUAAUUCAUUGAUAUUUCUUAAAAUGUAUUCAAUAACGAUACUUUUUAAGGAUGAAUAAUAAAGAUUCAUCAAACUGCGGGUAGAAAAAUAAAUUGAAAUAAAAUUAAUAAGAAUUAUUAUUAUUUAUUGUUAUAGUGCUUACUUGUUAACAAUUAGUUAAUAGAAAUAGAAGACAGUAUACAUUUAAGUUAAAGCACCUAGGGAAAUGAAAACCAAAUUUCUUGGUGCUCAAAAGACCAAUGAAUAUAUUUUCACAACAUUUAUCAUAGAUUUGUGCGAGAAAUUAAAAUAUAACUCCAUAAUUCAAAAAUACAAUUGCACAGAACUGAAAAUCAUAUUCAUAUUGAAAAUAAGGGAAGGGGGAAAA